GCCGCGGGAGCCGGUGUGGUCAUGGCGCCCGUCUGAAGAGCGGGAGAAGCUCGUUCGAAUCGAGCCCGCGGCA
rnacentral:tRNA from 1 species